GGUUUAUGGCUCAGUGGUAGAGUGCUUGUCUACCACAUCUGAGGCACUGGGUUUGAUCCUCAGCACCA
rnacentral:tRNA from 1 species